rnacentral:tRNA from 1 species
AGGGUUGUGGUUCAGAGGAAAAAAGUUCACCUAGCAUGUGGGAGGCACUGGGUUCGAUCCUCAGCAUCUUAU